CCCCUGACCACUCCCCACUGCCCCAUCCAACCCCUUCUCUCCUUCCUGUCUCCCCCCCUCCCAGGAUCCCUGCCCCUAUUCAACCCCCGUUCCGCGCCCUCUGAACUCCCUGACCACCCCCUGAACUCCCCUGCCCUCUAUCCAAAACACACACACCCUGCUCCCUGCCCCCUUACUGCGCUGCCUGGAGCACUGGUGGCUGUCAGCAUAGCUGCACCAGGACAGGCAGCCACGCCGCACAGCAUAGAGCACUGGGUCAGGCCGGGCUCUGCAGCCCCACCGCCCAGAGUGUUGCGCCACACGGCAGCAUGGCUGUUGGGGAGAGGGGAAAGCGGACAGCCUCCUGGGCCAGGAGCUCGGGCAAGACGGUCUGCUUUAGUUUUCGGGUGAUAUGCUUUGUGACUAACUUCAGUUUUUAUAGUUCAGAUGUCAGUCUGUUGAAUUACUGGAUUAUGUUAAUUUUUGUUAAUAAUCAAAACAUCAUUAUUUGGCUAAUGAUGUAAAACUUAGAAAUAUUGGUUGAUCACAUUAUUGAUUUGGUGCAUCAUGAGGACUCCAUAAGGACAUAUUUUUGACCCAUAAAAGGUACAAAAGAUAAUUAGAGAAAUGUUUAGUUUUAGCCUUUUUAAGGAAUGAGUGUAAUAAUCAAAGCUCACAUUUUAGUUAUUUAUUAUGUGUAGAAUCAUAGAAUAUCAGGGUUGGAAGGGACCUCAGAAGAUCAUCUAGUCCAAGCCCCUGCUCAAAGCAGGACCGAUCCCCAACUAAAUCAUCCCAGCCAGGGCUUUGUCAAGCCUGACCUUGAAAACCAUAAUAGAAAUGCCUAGGGCUUCAAUCAGUUUUCAAGAACCCUGUUGUACAAACAAAUAACCAGUCUGUCCCUGCCUCAAAGAGCUCACCAUUUAGGUUAAGGAGAAGACACAACAGGUGGGUGAGUGAGAGAAUGGGAAACAAGAUAAAAAUAAAAGAAACAUGUCUUGAGUAAUAGGCAAUAGGUUCAACUCACCAGCUGCCCAGCUGUUAGUGUUUUGUAUGAAGUCUUUAUAACAUACAGGUACCAGUAUUUCACUGGUGAAAGAAGAUCAGUAUGCCACAGUCAGCCUUCCUUUUCAGAUUACAUUUAAAAAUGCUGCAUUCUGGGGGUUUGAUCCAUGGCCUUAAUAAGUACUAAGUACUAAGAAGUUUUCACAGAAGUAAAUUGCAGCCCUACCUGCAUAGGGACAAAUUUUGCAACCUCAAAUUAUCAUGAAUUGCAGUUGUCAUUCUCUGACCAGCUCAAGUUGUAAAAUAAAGCAGCUCCUUUCUUUCUCUUUCACCUGAUCUCUAUAUAUGUUGCCAUGACUAAUACAAUUUCCAGUCAUGUUUUCAGUAGUCUGAGACCCUUAUUCUGUAACCUGGGCCUUGCACCCUGGUAUCUUUUUUGGAUUCUUUUGUUUUUAGUCUGGGUUGCAUAAGGCAGUCUUCAACUGUAAAGAUGCUCAUUGACUUCAAGCUUUGAAUAGCACCUUGAGUGAGUUAUUGCUGCAAGAAGCAGCAACUUGUUCUAACGUGUUCUACCAUUCUUGGCCAAAUGAGUUUUCUGGUUGUCAGGAAGAAUAGGAGUAAUUUUAUGAAGAAAUUCUUCCAUGACAUUAUAUUUUUGCUGGCAGUAUUUAACAUCAUCACAGAUAUCACAAAAUUCAAUUAAAAUGAGCAGAAAGUUAGUAAUGUUCAGUAAUGGAAAUCUUUGAAAUUGGCAAUUUCAAAAUUGUUAUGUGGCAUUAUUCCAUCUUGUCUUUUCCCUGACAUAUACCAUGAUAUCAGUUCAAUUCCCCUUGGGUGAAAAAGUUCAUAAAUACAUAAAUAAAAUGGCAUCCAAUUUACAUCCUGUCAAAAGCUUAUUUGAAUAACAUGCAUGUUUAUUACCUAAAUAAUGUUAAUCUAGAGUCUGAUAAUAUGAAGAUCAUUUUAACCUAUUGCAAAAGAUCUCUAACACAUUAUUUCAGUCAACUUCUCAGUAGAACAUGGCAACCAUUUAACAGUGUGUAGUAGCUCUAGAUAGUUUAGGAUGGAAAUGAAGAACACUUCAACAAUUGGAUCUGUACGCAGAUACAGUAUAAUUUUCUAAAUUAAUAUUUUGGCAAGGAUGCUGGUAAUAUCCUCACUACCUCCCUUCCUGCAAAAAGUGCUGUGGAAGUUUUUAAUCUCCACACAUGGUCAAGAGUUAGAGCCAAGCUGGAACACUGGUUCAGUAAUGUUCUAAAAAGGGGAUUACUGAAACAUAUCACUACUACUUCCUGCAGCAUGCUGGGUUUUCCCUGGAGGUCUUCUACUUGAUAUUGGUAAGCUCUGACACUACUUAUCUGAGAAGAUCAGUUUGAGGGGUUAUGGGAAUACAUUGUUUGGUUCUGAUAAAUCGAUUGAAGAUCAAAUUGCAUAUUCUAACUUUUUCUGAAGUUGAUUUCCAUAAUACUAUGCAUUCUGAAAAUCGUGAUCGGCACAACAUAAUAUGUUCACUGAAAGGAAUUUUCUGUUGUCUUUACUGACUCAGAGUAUGUCACGAAAGCAACUAACAAGAUGAAAGUAGAGUUGGUCAGAACAUUUUCAAAACAUUUUUCAUCAAAAAGUACUGUUUAUCAAGUUAAACAAUAAGGCUUCUGAGGUUCACAGUAGGCAAGAAGGGAGACACAUGAACCAAAUACCUGAUUUUCUUGAUCCAAAAGCCAAUGAUUCAACACAGUUCCGUUUUGCAAAAUGGUCAAAAGAUUUUCUUCCAGUGGGUAAAAAAACCAACAAAUUUUGAAACCUCAAAUUAUCAUGAAAUGCAGUUGUCAUUCUCUGACCAGCUCAAGUUGUAAAAUAAAGCAGCUCCUUUCCCUCUCUUUCACCCUCACCAUCCUAAACACCACUUGAGCCAAAUUCAUCCCUAGGAUUAGUGGAAAUAAUUCCCAUUGAGUCACUGGAAAUUGGACACAUUUAUAGCAGGAUACCAAACCUGUGCAUAUUACAGUGUUGUCAGUUAUUCUUUCCUGAUCAACUUAUAUAUCUAACGUCUCUGGCACUUCCAUCACUACUGAAUUUGGCCCUUAGUUUGAAAUAUACACUGAAUACUGAAACACCCAAAGCAAUGGCUAAAAUGCCAAGUUUUUAUUUAAAAAAAAUGUCUAGGUUGGUUGGCUACAAACUUUACACAUGUAAAACUUUCUUGUCAUCUUAGUUCAUGUGAUUAUAUGAAUAAUUUUCAUUCUUUAACAGGAUGUAUUAGACA